CAUCCGUUUAGUAUGCAGUCCCCCCAAUUUUCAAAUUUCGUUUCAAUCGAGUGCAAUGUAAUUUGCUAAUUGCCCGGGAGCAUUAAUUGCAUCCGCAUUUGCAUGCCCCUUGCUUCUUUGUAUUCCUCAUUUCUCCACGUUCUAUCAUUAUUUCCAUCAUUCGUAUUCAAAUUUCAAAAUAAUAUCAUCAGAUCUAUUCUAUUGUUUGACUCUCUCAAUCAAUUCCUCCUCAAAAUGGGAUUCUUUCCCCCUGUUUUCUCUCUGUCUUGCCUCAAUAGAUUCAGAUCUUCAAUCUUCAAAAGGAGAGGCACCGGAUUCCAGGGCGUCAUAGAAUGCGUCGGUGUUGAUGAUGACAGCGGCGAGGCAAUGAGACUACGAGAGCGAGCCAAAGUAGUGGCAGAGAGAAGAGAGGGAGCAGACGACGAUGAGGAAGCUGAUCGUUUCGAUCUUGAUGGUGUCGAGUAGGUUAGAGAGCAAGAUCGAAGGAAGAAGGUGGCAUGUGACUUGUGCAUCAAUUGGGCAAUUGAGGUCAAUAGCUAAGCAUUUGCAUGUGAUUUAUGAUAUUUUUGGGGGAUUAAAUCAGCUUGAAAUAUGAAUGACACGUGAAAAAUUAGGCACACAUUGAAAUUAUUUACAAACCAAUAGAAGGGUGCCACCUUGCAAGUGUGACAAGGCUCCUAUUUUCUUUUUAUUUUUUUUAAUUUUUUAAUUGAGUAUUCAGCUGAAGGGAAACACUAGAUGCAUGUCUAUUCAGCCCCAAAUUGAGAUUAUUCACCCAUUCACUCAUCUUUUACAUUUUCUCUCUCUUGUUUAUCUUGUUCUUCAUUAUUCUCUUCCUUCUCUCUAUACAUACAGCCACAUCCAAGUACCUUUUCUUCUACUUUUCACCAUCAAAUCCACUCAAUUCUUUCACCAUUCUCUUUUUCUCUCAUGGCCAACCCUAACCCUUGCAACUAGAAGGAGAUUUGAAGCUCAAUUCAUCAAGAUUCAUGGAGCAUGUAUCGGCCUCUUGGUGUUCUUGGAGGAGCAAGGAUUUUUUGAUGUUUUCUAGCUAGAUUCUCCAUGGAAUCCUAAGGGAGAAUUGAUGGAAGAGGAGUUUUGAAGUCUUCACUUGGCUAAGCUCAACUAUUUCUUCAUCUUGUUUCAAUUUCAUUAGAGUAUUAUGAAUAUAGUUGAUUGUAGUUCAAUUUGACUUUACUUUCAUGGUUGUUUAUAAUUUGUAAUGUUAAAACAAGAUUUUUGAGUUGAAUUUCAUGACUUAAGUGCUGCUGGAA